rnacentral:lncRNA from 1 species
GGGUUUUCAGAGCGGAGGUGGGGGCUCCCGGCAGGGGAAGUUAGAGCCGAGGGAGCGGCAGGAGCACGUGGGCUGAGUGGGGGUGGGAGGACGCAGACGGCGGAGUAACCGGUGGAAGUGUCAAAGAGGAAGGAGUGGAGGGCUGCUGAGGUGACAGGGUGUGGUCUGUGAGGGAGCGGGCGAACCCGGAGAGGAGAGCAGAGAGACCCACCAGGACUAGGAGGCAGCGGGGAGCGUGCCUGCGUCGCUCGGAGCGGUGACAGCAAGGAGCGCAGCGCGGGGGCCGGGCGGCAAGGGGAGUUUCCAGUCCUCGAUAAGUGGAGUCCCUGCUCUGAGCUGCGCCAGCGCCUUCCGCCUGGGCCCGCGGUGCCAGACACCUGCCGAGUCCGAAGCGGGAGUCCGGCUGAGCCUUCGGCCCCCAAGAGACACCGUAAGAACCACAGAGUGUUAAACUUGGGGCUUGGAAAUCAGAGUCUGUCCCUGAAUUUCACAAAGGAAACGACUGACAUCAAAAGAAGGCAAGGAUCUCCAACCUGAGCAUAUGCCAGCUGACAUGGGAACACUGAGGCCAGCAAUUUAAGGAUUUCACAUUUGCUUGCAGUGGUAAGAUUUAAAUAUAUAACAACGAAGGGCAUUAAAUAUUACUGGGUUCUGGCUUUUUCCAUUAGAUGCGAAAGUGAGGUUGUUUAGGUGUAUCUUUUUUGAUCAGUAAAGAUCUCUACUUGCAAAACCAAUGCAAACACAAGAUAAAUCCAUAAUCCAUAAAUAUUGAACAUAGUGUUUGUUGGUAUGAGUGAAAAUAGGAAAACUAAUAAUUAGAUUUUUUAAGUGUCUGCAUCAUUGGACUAAGUGGAGGAAAUGGUUUCCAUGUUGAACAACGAAACUGUGUAUUCAGAAGAGAUAUGAUUGUACAGCACAAAGGGACACACAGUUAAAGAUCAAUGGGGAGAAAGAAAGGGAAAGUGACUCUGUUUUCAAUUCUGCAUGGGGCAGUCAUACCCUUAACACGGGUCCAGAUAUUUGGUUUCUAAAACAACCACAUUUGCAGUUAGCUAGGAGAUUGUGUAAAAAUGAAGAUUCUGUAAGCCGAUGACAGUGUACCUCCACACACUGGACACUUGCUGCCAUCCGAGACAUCUGUACGCCAUUACUUAAAAAGAGAGUGAUAAUGGUGACUGUUGACAGACGGAUGGCAAAUUGUGUUACUGGAAGAUCAUUUUGAAAAGGGAAGUCUCCCACUCCUCUGUGUGUAUGUGCAUUUAUAUAUAUGUGUGGACAAACACACAUAUACUCUCUCCCUUAAAUCUGAGGCCAAAAUGUAAUACUGAAAAAAGUAAUUAAAAUUUACAUUCUUAAUAAAAGAGAGCACCAUCUUUGGACACAUUUUCAAUAUAAAGUAGAAACUGCACCAUGAUAGGGUUAAAUAGUCUAACAAGAUCAUCUAGGCCUCGGUGGAUUCUUUGGACCCUGUGUUGUUUAAUUUAAUAGGUUAAAUUAAAAAAUAAUACACGUUCCAUUACCAUCUUCCUUUAAGCCAGAUCUUCAUGGAGUAAACCUAUAUUUGGCACAUUCAAUUCUUUGAGAGCUACCAUUUUAAUAUAUUUUCUUUCUGUCUGUCUUUUUUUCUUUUUUCUUUUUUUUUUUUUUUUUGAGACAGAGUCUUGCUCUGUCAGCCAGGCUGGAGUGCAGAGACAUAAUUACAGUUCACUGAAGGCUUGAACUCCUAGACUCAAAGGAUCAUCCCACCUCAGCCUCCUGAGUAGCUAGGACUACAGGCAAACACCACUGUGCCAUCCUAAUUAAAAAAAAUUAUAGAGAUAGGAUAUCACUGUGUUGCCCAUGCUGGUCUUGAACUCCUGGCCUCAAGUGAUCCUCUUGCCUUGGUCUCCCAAAGUGCUGGGAUUACAGGGGUGAGCCACUGCAUUCAGCCACUAAUAAAGUUUCUAUAUAUUUCUUAGUCCCAAUUUUCAUGUGGUCUUAUUGCAGAUCCAUGGUGCAUUGAGUAAAAUGUGACUUUGAGAAGCCUGAUUUGCUCAUUCUUGUGUGCUGACCGUGGUGUUACAUCUGUGAAUUUCUGAAGGAUAUAUUUUAGAAAUUCAGCAUUCUUAUUUAGUCCUCUUAGUAUAUUCUUUUCAAAUUGCCUCGCUGCUUUAUUCAGUCAUAUUAUUGCAGUAACUUUUAGUUUAACAGCUUGUAUUCUCAAAAUCUAUUUAUGGAACAAUGGAAGAAUGAUUGUAAAAUAGCUUGGAAGAUGCAUUACUUAAACUGAUACCUGGAAGUGAUGAUAUAACUUCACACUUUUAUGCAUAUAAAAGUAAAUGAAUGUAUCAUUAUGGUUUAUUUUAUCUGAAUAUUACAUUCCCCUUGAAAAUUAAAUAACUUUGCACUUGAGUUUCAUGUUUUAUUUCAUGAUUUAGAAGUGCUUUCUAGGAACUACCACCAAAACCUAACUUCCAUACGUAAGUCAUGGUUUCCUCAUAUGUGCAUGGAGUUUAAGAUAACAUCCUAAUUAGAGUCAUUAAAUCUUUGAUGUCAGAAGGGGCUGAGUUAAACUGAACAGGGCUUUUAAAAAUCCCCAAAGCUGAGCAAUGUGAGGAGGAAAACAAAGUAAGAGAAACACGCAUAUGAUUGGCCUUAAUGAUAUUAUAAGCCUAUAAGAAAGUGGCCUACAGCUCACAUCUGGACCACAGAACUCAUCAUUUCAUCUGAACCUGUGUGUAUCAAAUUGUGCUUUUUGUUAUCAAAAGUGAAAGCCUGCAAAAAAAAAUAAACUAAACUAAACUAAAAUAAAAUCCAAUAGACCAUGCUAAAUUGAGUUGCAUCAUUUAGAAAGUGGGAAGAUUUUCUUAGAACUAGCCUUGGAGCUUCUUGUCUCUGUAGAGAACCAAGGACCAUACAGAAUACUGUCCCACUUCUGCAUAUGAGGACACUGUUGAACAGAUAGACUUGUUUGAGAAAUAAUAUAAUCAUGUAGAGUGACAGAGUAGAAAAGCACUAAUGUAGACACCAAUGUACCACAAUCUUACCACAAUGUACCACAGCAAAAACCAUACCUGAUUUUGCUGGAUAAGAUUUUUUUUCUUUUGUCUCUAAGAUUUUAAAUAGCCUCUAAAUGUCAGUCCUUAGUUUUUAAUUUGUAAAAGGGGUUUACUACUUACUCUAUUCUCUGCAGACUUAGCUGGAGAUAAAAUAAUAAGUAAAAAAUACUUUGUGGAACUUAAAAUCACUACACAGAAUUUAGUAUUGCUAGAAAGUUGAUUCCUUGUUAAUAGCGCUUGUCUGAUUUGAACAUUAGGUCAGAAAAGCAUCUUCAUCGAUCUGGUCUAUGUUUUCACACUGAAUGAAGGCUUACAGUUGCUCUGAGCUCUAAUACACUUGACUGUUCUUAUUAAAUUAUGAUAACAAAAUGCAAUCAUUAUAACUUUCCCUGAAUUGUAUGUGUAUCUAUUUUUAGUGUUGUUGAUGCACUGAUCGAAAUUUCAGUGUUCUAAAAUUACUCCAAAUGAGAGCAUGGGAGAGUACAGAGGAAAUGUUUACGAUACAAUCCCUGUCAGUAAGGGGAGUGGAAGGGGUCUCUGGGGCUCGUCCUUGUGGUAAAGCCGUCUUUCUCAGACCUCCUUUCCUCUAAUUCUUUUCAGAUGCAGACUUCCUACCAUAGCAAACCCUGUGUAUCUUCCUGCCCCUUCUCCUCCUCUCUACCCGCUCCUGUCUCCUUUCUCCUCUCCUUCACACCUCAGAAAGUCCUUUGAUUGUUUACAAUCCAGGUUUUUUUUAGCUAUUGACCCACAGCCUUCUGCUUCCAUAAAUCCUGCUUUAAGUGUUUGAUCUGUAAGACAAAUAUACCCCCAUAGCCCUGAGUUUACUCUCUGACUCUGUUUCAUUACAAAUGUUGUAGACAAUCAAUAUGAGUUAGGGGUGGGGGGAAAUGUCUUAGGUCAACAAACACAAUUUGCUGGAACAUACCAUAAUCUUUGCCCUUGCAAAGAACUGUUGAUCACAUGUCCUUUAAGAAUAAAGCCAAGUUGUUGGAAAAUGUAACUUAAAUUAAAUACACAGGAAAUUCCAACAAUUACACAUGACAUAAAAAAUCUUUCAGAGCUCCCAGUUCAUGUACUAAUGUUAGAAGCAAUCAAGGACUAUGAAUAAUGGAUGAAGUUAAACAUAGUGGCCCAAAUUUUUAUCCAGAGUGCUAGAGAAGAACGUUAACAUAAUGGAUGUGGG